CAAUAGCGUAUAUUAAAGUGGUUGCAGUUAAAAAGCUCGUAGUUGGAUUUCUGGUGGGAGCGAUCGGUCUGGCGCUUAGCGCGAGUACUUGCAUCGUCUCCGGCCAUCCUUGGGGAGAGUCUGUCUGGCAUUAGGUUGUCGGGCAGAGGAUCCUCAUCGUUUACUGUGAAAAAAUUAGAGUGUUCAAAGCAGGCUUAUGCCGUUGAAUAUAUUAGCAUGGAAUAAUAAGAUAGGACUUUGGUACUAUUUUGUUGGUUUGCGCACCAAAGUAAUGAUCAAUAGGGACAGUUGGGGGCAUUCGUAUUCCGUUGUCAGAGGUGAAAUUCUUGGAUUUACGGAAGACGAACUACUGCGAAAGCAUUUACCAAGGAUGUUUUCAUUAA
rnacentral:rRNA from 1 species